rnacentral:piRNA from 1 species
UGUGCACUGAGGCUUGCACACCCUC